rnacentral:rRNA from 1 species
UACGUAGGUGGCAAGCGUUGUCCGAAAUUACUGGGCGUAAAGCGCACGUAGGCGGAUUGUUAAGUCGGGGGUGAAAUCCUGGAGCUCAACUCCAGAACUGCCUUCGAUACUGGCGAUCUCGAGUUCGGGAGAGGUGAGUGGAACUGCGAGUGUAGAGGUGAAAUUCGUAGAUAUUCGCAAGAACACCAGUGGCGAAGGCGGCUCACUGGCCCGAUACUGACGCUGAGGUGCGAAAGCGUGGGGAGCAAACAGG